rnacentral:rRNA from 1 species
AGAGAGAGACAUGCGCGCAUAUCAAUAAGCGGAGGAAAAGAAACUAACAAGGAUUCCCUUAGUAACGGCGAGUGAAGCGGGUAGAGCUCAAAUUUGAAAUCUUCAAGGUUUUACCUUGACGAAUUGUAGUUUAAAGAAGUGUUUUCUGCUGAAGUUUUGGUAAAAGUUCUUUGGAAUAGGACAUCAUAGAGGGUGAGAAUCCCGUAUUUGACCAUUAUUUUCCAGCUUUGUGGAUACACUUUCAAAGAGUCGGAUUGUUUGGGAAUGCAGUCCAAAAUGGGUGGUAAAUUUCAUCUAAAGCUAAAUAUUGGCGAGAGACCGAUAGCGAACAAGUACCGUGAGGGAAAGAUGAAAAGAACUUUGAAAAGAGAGUUAAACAGUACGUGAAAUUGUCAAAAGGGAAGCGUUUGACACCAGUGUUGUUUUCUCGAAAAUCAAUUAAAAAUGGCUCGAUUUUGUAUUGCUUGAGACCUUAAAAGCUCACUGUACAUUUUUCGUGUCUUUUUUAAUGCACUUUUCGUUUAACAAGUCAACAUCAGUUUCUUUUGUUGUAAAAGGGUCAUUGGAAGGUGGCUUUCUUUUCGGAGAAAGUGUUUAUAGCCUUUGGCCUCUGCAAUCGGAGAGACUGAGGUCUGCAGCGUAGACUCUUCGGGGUUAGAUACAUUUGUGCUAAGUUAUAGCUUUUUAUAGACAACUUGUUGACUAUAAUUAGUCUUGUAGCUUACUCGCUUAUGCUAUUUUACCUACGCUUAGGAUGUUGAAGAUGUAGCACAUCAU